GCCUUUUCAAUCGCCUUUGGAACCGAAUUCUGCAUUGCAAACACAGAAACCACAAACACAGUGUUGAAAGGCAGAACACGAAAUGUUGCGCUAUUUCCUUUUUUCCGGAAGUCUGUUUAUACACACGUCAACGUGUCCCUUUCACGCUUCUCUGAUUGGUUGAAGAGAUCAUCAACAAAUGAAUAUACACAAUAUAUAUAGUUCAGCGUUACUGAUCCAUUUUUGGGUCAGUAAAAUUUGGCGCGCUGCAAGUAUGACAAGUCGGCCUCGCGCGAGCGACUUCGUCGCUCGCGCUCGCUGCUCGCGUUUCGUUCGAGGCCGACUUGUGGCAAGUCUAGUUACACUGUAACUAGUGAGGUCUGGGGGUUUGGGUCUCUCAAAUAGCAUUUCCUGCAUUCUGAGAACAAAUUUUAAAAAAAUCUCACCUUCUCAAAACAAACUUUUACAGGUGAAAUUUGUAAUAAAUUGCAUGCUAAAGGAAACUGUUCGGCCCAAGUUUGUCCGUUGCAAACCAUGGCGGAAAAAAUCACAAAGAUAUAAAACUCUUAUAUAACUGACAUAGGCCUCGUUUUCAAGAGAAUAAACUAAAUGCUGGUGGUAACUCAUCAAAUAUUCCUGUGAUAAUUAGCAACAGAUCCCCCUAAAUGCUUGAUUUAAGCCACAAUAGUACCAGAAACAUUAUACACAUUACUCCUACUAAACGGCUAUCCUUUCAGUCUUGCUAAGGUUAAUGCUGUGUGUAGAUGCAUUAUGUAUUACUGAAACCUGGUUAUGAAACACUAUUCCAGAUUCCAUUUUAACUAUACCUUGCUAUAAUCUAUAAAGUAAUUCCGUAAAGACCGCUUGCAUUCAUUUGCAGGAGAUGUAUGUAUCUAUAUGAGAAUAAUAUCCCAGGAAAAUAUUUAAAAUCUGCGACCAAGACAAAGUCGAAUCUAUAUGGGUAUCAAUGCGUCCUCACAAACUACCAUGAAAGCAUAUCACAUCAAUUAUUUUGGUUGUUCUACAGUGUGUAUCAAAAUAAUUCGAAUCCAAAUUUGGCGUGUAAUAACGCAGAAUAUAUUUGACAAAUUCGGUUGUUUUUUACACCAUUGUUAAGUUCAUUUAUUUAUCUUUCAAAUGACAUGCUGUACGCGUCAUUUAGUUGGAAAAUGAAGGAGUAUUGCUUUGACAAAAAAGUCCAUAAAAAUCACAAUUUUCCGCCGAUGGGAAUUGGACAUUUUUUCUUUCAAAGUUAGUCCCACAAGUCUUUGAAAUGCUAAUCAUCACUGAAAACUAAAAUGCAAAUUUAACGCGAAUUUCUUCUCGUUCAAAAUGUUGAAAGCAUAGGAGCUUAAAUCUCUUUUAAAUGAACAUGAAUUUAUGUAAAUUUUGCUACAUAACAGUUUGUUGAUUAAUUAAAUUUGCAUUAUCUUUUGUUUGUACGUCUCACUUCGAAUUCCCAUCGGCGGACAAAUUUGAUUUCGAGCAACCAGUUUUAACACACGAUUUCUUGGUCAUUUUUUAUCUUGUUGAUAUAAGAACGAUAUAAUCGGAAACCUAAUAAGCUAUUCUUUAUUGCCAUAUAAAAAUUAUAUGGUUUACUUUAGUAUUUUAUUUUUUUAUUUUUUUUAUUUUUUUUCAUACUUUGACACUUAUAUAAGUAGCUAAUAAAGGCCGGUCCUAGGACAAAAUGGUUAAUAAUUCAUGUAAGACAAAUUAUAGUGGAUCCGGGCAAGUAUGGGCUUGCCCAGAAUGGGAUUCCGGGAAAUCAGAAUUCCCGGAAUAGAAUCGAUGACGUCACUUCCGGUUUCCCAAUUCCUCACGCACCACUAGGGCCCCUCUGCCUACCGGCCACCACCCCCACCACUCGCGCGGUCGUGGUCAGUCCCACUCGCAAAGCCUCUCGCGCAGGCCUUUCGCAAAUCGGUCGGCAAUCCAUCCGCCACAUCCUCCGCAAGCUCACCGCAUCCACCGCGUCCCAUACGCUUGUUGGAGUUUUGCUGGGAGGGAUUGGUGACUUUUGCCAUUAUCUAUAUCACAGUGGCAGCAUCGUAGGGGUGUACUGACUAUUCUGUGUGUUAUUUUUUGUUGAAUCCGUACGAGGGCAGAUUGAGAAAGGUCGGGAGGAAGGUAAACGGUUUAAAGAGAAGGGAUUGUAUAAGUAAAAGGGUAUGUAUUUCAAAAAAGUGCCUUGCGAGGAGAUUCAGGAAGAUUUGUACACUCCCCUCGAGAUAUCUAUCGGAAAAUUUAAUCGGAACAUGAAAUUAUUUUGGGAUAUUGUGAUUCGGGUGGAAUACAGAAAUUUGAGUUUUAUCGAGAUAGCGUACUUAGAUUCCGUUAAUUGGGAUUUUGAUAAAUACUUUAUAGAUACUAAGUUAUUGUCCGGCUUGAACGGCAUUUGUAAAACUAAAAAUGAUUUUAUAAAAUAUCUUCAGAAUCCGGCUAUAGGAUGGGAAUCGAGAAUGGAGAGAAAGAGAAAAAUAAUGAAUAACUAUACAAUAGCGGAAAAGGCGUACUUGGAUUCUCUUGGUCCUAAGGAGCCGGGACCUGUGGAAUUUCCUAACGAACGUUUUUGUUCCGAGUGGUGUGAACAUCAGUUUAUCGGUAUAAAUGGGAAAAGGACGUGUUGUAAUUGUGGGUUAGAGGUUGGUCCGACCCAUUACGUUUCCGAUUUCGGUUGUUGGGAUAGGGCAAUUAUGAGGCGUAAGCCAGCUACCAUCCGCUCCAAAGUCUGUGGUUUUAUAAAAAAGAAGGGUGUGUCGGAGUACGGACUAUUUGUGGAAGGAUCGUCUGAGGUUAUAAAUAAAAUUGUUAGUAUUUGCGACGAAGAGGAACCUAAGGGGAAAAGGCUCCCUAAUCAUAAUAUUAUGAGUUAUCAGGUAUGUAAAUUGCUUGGUGUGGAUGUAAACGUGUCUCUACUUAAGAUUCCUAAGGGGAAGGUCCCUCACGAUCGGUAUAGGAAAUUGUUUCACAAGGUAGGUUUGGA
rnacentral:lncRNA from 1 species